GGCUGUCGUCAGCUCGUGUCGUGAGAUGUUGGGUUAACGUCCCGUAACGAGCGCAACCUUGUCCUUAGUUACCAGCACGUUAUGGUGGGCACUCUAAGGAGACUGCCGGUGACAAACCGGAGGAAGGUGGGGAUGACGUCAAGUCAUCAUGGCCCUUACGGCCUGGGCUACACACGUGCUACAAUGGUCGGUACAAAGGGUUGCCAAGCCGCGAGGUGGAGCUAAUCCCAUAAAACCGAUCGUAGUCCGGAUCGCAGUCUGCAACUCGACUGCGUGAAGUCGGAAUCGCUAGUAAUCGUGAAUCAGAAUGUCACGGUGAAUACGUUCCCGGGCCUU
rnacentral:rRNA from 1 species